UACGGGGGGGGCUAGCGUUGUUCGGAAUUACUGGGCGUAAAGGGCGCGUAGGCGGCCUACUAAGUCGGACGUGAAAUCCCUCGGCUCAACCGGGGAACUGCGUCCGAUACUGGUGGGCUCGAAUCCGGGAGAGGGAUGUGGAAUUCCAGGUGUAGCGGUGAAAUGCGUAGAUAUCUGGAGGAACACCGGUGGCGAAGGCGGCAUCCUGGACCGGUAUUGACGCUGAGACGCGAAAGCGUGGGGAGCGAACAGG
rnacentral:rRNA from 1 species